rnacentral:rRNA from 1 species
CAGUAGCCGCGGUAAUACGAAGGGUGCAAGCGUUAAUCGGAAUUACUGGGCGUAAAGCGUGCGUAGGCGGUGAGUUAAGUCUGCUGUGAAAUCCCCGGGCUCAACCUGGGAAUGGCAGUGGAUACUGGCUCGCUAGAGUGUGUCAGAGGAUGGUGGAGUUCCCGGUGUAGCGGUGAAAUGCGUAGAGAUCGGGAGGAACAUCAGUGGCGAAGGCGGCCAUCUGGGACAACACUGACGCUGAGGUGCGAAAGCGUGGGGAGCAAACAGGAUUAGAGACCCCGGUAGUCCCUGUCUCUUAUAC